rnacentral:rRNA from 1 species
UACGUAGGUGGCGAGCGUUGUCCGGAAUUACUGGGUGUAAAGGGCGUGUAGGCGGGAUUGAAAGUCAGAUGUGAAAUUCCUGGGCUUAACCCAGGAGCUGCAUCUGAAACUUUAAUUCUUGAGUGCUGGAGAGGAUAGUGGAAUUCCUGGUGUAGCGGUGAAAUGCGUAGAUAUCAGGAGGAACACCAGUGGCGAAGGCGGCUAUCUGGACAGUAACUGACGCUGAGGCGCGAAAGCGUGGGGAGCAAACAGG